UUGGGCGUAAGCGCGCGCAGGUGGUUCCUUAAGUCUGAUGUGAAAGCCCACGGCUCAACCGUGGAGGGUCAUUGGAAACUGGGGAACUUGAGUGCAGAAGAGGAAAGUGGAAUUCCAAGUGUAGCGGUGAAAUGCGUAGAGAUUUGGAGGAACACCAGUGGCGAAGGCGACUUUCUGGUCUGUAACUGACACUGAGGCGCGAAAGCGUGGGGAGCAAACAGGAUUAGAUACCCUGGUAGUCCACGCCGUAAACGAUGAGUGCUAAGUGUUAGAGGGUUUCCGCCCUUUAGUGCUGCAGCUAACGCAUUAAGCACUCCGCCUGGGGAGUACGGCCGCAAGGCUGAAACUCAAAGGAAUUGACGGAGGCCCGCACAAGCG
rnacentral:rRNA from 2 species